CCUACGGGUGGCAGCAGUGGGGAAUUUUGCACAAUGGGGGAAACCCUGAUGCAGCGACGCCGCGUGAGCGAGGAAGUAUUUCGGUAUGUAAAGCUCUAUCAGCAGGGACGAAAAAAGACGGUACCUGACUCAGAAGCCCCAGCUAACUACGAGCCAGCAGCCGCGGUCAUACGUAGGGGGCAAGCGUUAUCCGGAUUUACUGGGGGUAAAGGGAGCGUAGACGGCAAGGCAAGCCAGAGGGGAAAGGGGAGGGCUCAACCCUGUACAUGCUUUAGAAACUGUGGUGCUAGAGUGCAGGAGAGGUAAGUGGAAUUACUAGUGUAGCGGUAAAAUGCGUAGAUAUUAGGAGGAACACCAGUGGCGAAGGCGGCUUACUGGACUGUAACUGACGUUGAGGCUCGAAAGCGUGGGGAGCAAACAGGAUUAGAUACCCUUGUAGUC
rnacentral:rRNA from 1 species